GGAGGAUUCUGGGAAAUGUAGGAAAAGGAAAGAGUCACCAUGUGAUCCCAGGAAGAGAGGACAGCGUCCUCGCCCUUUGCAGAUAUUUCCUCCCCCUCCAUCCUGGGUUGAAUUGAUGAACUGUCCCUGACAAACUUGACGUCUCAUCCUAAGGGUAUUUUUCCUUAACUUCCAUCCCCUGGAUUGCCGAUGAGUUGUCUGACUCCCAACAUUGUGUUGAGAUGUGGUCGUCUACCUGCUGGGCUGAAUGUAGCUCAUCCCUGUUUGGAAAUCUGCACGGAUACCUCUGACCAAUGCACUCCUGUCUCCUGGAUAAAGAAGUCACCCUCCAGGAGCUGCAGGCUCCUCCUUCCCACAUCUGAUCCUCACAAUUUAGUAACUCCUCCCUGCUUCGUUAUUGCUGUGUAAAGAAAAUUGCAGCUGAUGCUCCACUCUGCUGGUUUAGUUGUUAGAGUGCAAAGCACAAAGCAUGCCCUGAAACCGUCCGUAAAUUAACAGCAAGAAAUCAAGAGCGCAAAGACUCCAAGUGCAUCGCAGGGGGAUUAGCUUAAUGCCAACAAGAUGGACGUCUCUAGAUGGAGCAUAUUUUAAAACCUUUCCUUUUAUUUUGUAAUGAAAAAACAUAAUUCAAUUUGUUGUCUUCUUGGCAUAUAUAAAAUAUUAGGUGAAAGUACAAACAUGUCAU
ensembl:lincRNA